rnacentral:rRNA from 1 species
UGGUCCUACGGGAGGCAGCAGUGAGGAAUAUUGGUCAAUGGGCGGGAGCCUGAACCAGCCAAGUCGCGUGAGGGAAGACGGUCCUAUGGAUUGUAAACCUCUUUAGGCGGGGAGCAAUGCCGGGCACGCGUGCCCGGAGGGAGAGUACCCGCAGAAUAAGCAUCGGCUAACUCCGUGCCAGCAGCCGCGGUAAUACGGAGGAUGCGAGCGUUAUCCGGAUUUAUUGGGUUUAAAAGGUGCGUAGGCGGAAGGUUAAGUCAGCGGUCAAAUGUCGGUGCUCAACACCGGCCUGCCGUUGAAACUGG